rnacentral:misc_RNA from 1 species
AAAAUGUGAUACUUGGUGUGAAUUGCAGAAUCCCGUGAACCAUCGAGUCUUUGAACGCAAGUUGCGCCCCGAGCCUUCUGGCCGAGGGCACAUCUGCCUGGGUGUCACAAAUAGUCGUCCCCCCAUCCUCUCGAGGAUAUGGGACGGAAGCUGAUUUACCGCACGCGGUUGGCCAAAAUCUGACCUAAGGACGCCAUGAGCGUCUUGACAUGCGGUGGUGAAUUCAAUUCUCGUCAUAUAGUCAGACGUUUCGGUCCAAAAGCUCUUGAUGACCCAAAGUCCUCAACGCGACCCCAGGUCAGGCGGGAUCACUCGCUGAGUUUAA